AUGCUGGUUUUGGCAGCACAUAUAUUAAACCUGCAGUGAUACAGAGAAGAUUAGUAUGGCUCCUGUGCUAGGAUGACACACACAUUGGUGAAGUACUCCAUAUUUUU